UACAGGGGGUGCAAACGUUGCUCGGAAUCAUUGGGCGUAAAGCGCACGUAGGCGGUCUGUUAUGUCGGAUGUGAAAGCCCCGGGCUUAACCUGGGAUGGCCAUGGAAACUGGCGAGCUGGAGUGUGGCAGAGGGGGUGGAAUUCCGCGUGUAGCAGUGAAAUGCGUAGAGAUGCGGAGGAACACCGAUGGCGAAGGCAGCCCCCUGGGCUAACACUGACGCUGGAGGCACGAAAGCGUGGGGAGCAAACAGG
rnacentral:rRNA from 1 species